AUCCUCUUCUGUCCCAACACACUUCCUGUAACUGUGACAGGAUGUCCCGAUUGGCUCUGUCUUGCCUCACCUCUUUGUGUUUCAGAGUGGGAUCCUGUCAAGCGCCACGGAGAAGCCUUAGGAGCUCAGAGGGCCCUAUGACACCACCAACCUGUAUCCUUCCUAUUGGUUCAGACACAAACUGUGGUCUUCA